AUUGAACGCUGGCGGCAGGCCUAACACAUGCAAGUCGAGCGAGCGGCGGACGGGUGAGUAAUGUAUGGGGACUGCCCUAUAGAGUGGGAUCACUACUGGAAACGGUAGCUAAUACCGCAUACUAUCGGAUAACCCAUAUGGGUGUAGCUAGUUGGUGUGGUAAUGGCUCACCAAUGCGACGAUCCCUAGCUGGUCUGAGAGGAUGAUCAGCCACACUGUGACUGAGACACGGCCCAGAUUCCUAAGGAGGCAGCAGCGGUGAAUAUUGCACAAUGGGCGCAAGCCGGAUGCAGCCAUGCCGCGUGUAUGAAGAAGGCCCUAGGGUUGUAAAGUACUUUCAGUCGGGAGGCGUUACCGACAGAAGAAGCACCGGCUAACUCCGUGCCAGCAGCCGCGGUAAUAG
rnacentral:rRNA from 1 species